AGAAGUCUGAAACGAAAGUCAGAGUCAAAAUCAAAUACAGGCAAAAUAGAUACGAUAUUUUGAAGAAGAGCGCCACCACCGCUAAAUAUUGUCUGCUACCGAUCGCUGCAGUGCUUCAACGUUCAACCGUUCAACCUUCAAGUAGUAACGUCGCAACUACAAUUUGUGAAUAUUGUUAUAGAAAUGGAAACAUCAAGCAAAAUAAACAAUGAAAUUGAGUCUUUAAAUGCUGAAGAAUUAAACUGGAUUCAGUUAAGAGAGGAAAUUGGAUCAGAAAGUUUGAAGAACCAGGAGACAUUCAAAGAAAAAUUCAACAGAAAAUUUUCUGAAAAUCCUUUUGUUCCUAUUGGGUGUCUAGCAACUGCAGCUGCAUUGACAUAUGGCCUGUGGUCCUUUCGUCAUGGGUAUAACUUUACAAAUUGAUUGUUGUGUGGUUAUUGACCAUAAUAUAUUUUUUUUAAAUC